CACCGAUCCGCCUCUGCCCACCCCCGGCACAGCCCGCAGCCUUGCUUCCGGGCUCUUCAGGCACCUCUGCCUGUCGGUCCUGUGUCCCACACAACGUGACUCCUGAGGGUCUCUGGGCAGUGGGGUGGCUGCCACAAAUGUGGGACUGACCCCCUUUUGUGUGCACACUGGAAACCUAGGCAAUGUAAAAGCAACUGCUGCCUUAGCAAAUGUGUCGCCACACCCCCUGCGUGAAGACAGUCACCCCCUCUCCGGUCCCCCUAUCCGUCCCGACCUGGCAGGCAGGCAAGAGCACUGCGCCCAUCCCGGACCACUGUGGGGGGCUGUGGAGAUGCAGCGCCGACCAUCACUCGGUCAGAGGGGGCCUUCGCAGUAAGAAUCCAGGGGAAGGUGCCUUGGGGUUCCUGACCCCAUUGUGGAGCAACAGGUGA
rnacentral:lncRNA from 1 species